rnacentral:rRNA from 1 species
GUGGGGAAUCUUCCGCAAUGGACGAAAGUCUGACGGAGCGACGCCGCGUGAGUGAAGAAGGCCUUCGGGUCGUAAAGCUCUGUCAUCAGGGACGAACGGCCGGUGGAGUGGAAAGCCACCGGAUUGACGGUACCUGAGAAGGAAGCCACGGCUAACUACGUGCCAGCAGCCGCGGUAAUACGUAGGUGGCAAGCGUUGUCCGGAAUUAUUGGGCGUAAAGCGCGCGCAGGUGGGAUCUUAAGUCCAUUUUGAAAGUUCGGAGCUCAACUCCGUGAUGGGAUGGAAACUGGGAUUCUUGAGUACCGGAGAGGAAAGCGGAAUUCCCCGUGUAGCGGUGAAAUGCGUAGAUAUGGGGAGGAACACCAGUGGCGAAGGCGGCUUUCUGGACGGUGUCUGACACUGAGGCACGAAAGCGUGGGGAGCAAACAGGAUUAGAAACCCUAGUAGUCC